rnacentral:lncRNA from 10 species
UGGCUCUAGCCAAGCUCAUUCAUUUACAUUAUCAUCUAUAGAUGCAUUUUUACUACAACAGCAGAGUUGAACAGUUGAAACAAGGACUGCAUGGCCUGUGUAAAGCCUAAAAUAUUUGCUAUCUGACCCUUUACAGAAAGUUUGCCAACCCCUGCUCCAGACAAGCACUAUCCAACAGAACUUUUUGCAGCGAUGGAAAUGUUCUAUAUCUGUGCUGUCCAAUGCAGAAGUCGCUAGCCACAUGUAGCUAUUUGAGCACUUGAAAUAUGGUCAACAGUGACUGAAUAACUGAAUCCUUAAUUUCAUAUAAUUGAGAUUUUCAUAACCACAAGUGGCUAGUGGCUACCAUAAUAGACAGUACAGCUCUAGACUCUUAAAUCUUCUGUACUGAUGUUUUUUUUUCUCCUUAUGCCACUAUCUCACUCCCUUCCUGUGACAUUCCUCUAUGGAUUCUCAGGAACUCCCCACCACCCCACUGUUCCACAGUCCCACUCACUAUAUACACAUCCAUUUUUCUGACCUCAAGCUAGGGUACACUUACUAGGUUGUCUCUCUGGACUCUCCAUUGUCACAAAUGAAGUCUGAAAAUGGAUCAGGUUAUCAGUUGUCACCCUAUGAAUUAAGCCACAUUAUGUACAUACACAUAAAUGGACAUUUACACAAGUUCAUUUGUGUCAGAGGAUGGCACUGAGGCUGUAUUCUUUCUUCUCUGCAUGAGAGAAGUAGAAAAGCCCUCCACAUGCUGGAUGCCUUGUUGCUGCUGGUGCCUGUGGUAUGGAUCACCUCCCUCCGAACACAUUCACAGAAGCUCAGAGCAGCAGAUGUAUGCUUGGCUACUUGAAUCUCUAGGAAAAAAAAUUCCUUCAUCAUUGGAUUUUCUGUCCCUCCCCAGGCCUAACAAACUGAAGUUCACUGAUUUCUUUAGUUUAAUAGAUGCUUGCUGUUUACUCGUCUUUUUGAGCUGACUUUUUGAGAAUAACUCCCAUGCUGUCUUGAUCUUGGCUAGGUGCAUUUUUAAAAUUUACUAAAUUAAAUGAAAUCCACAUAAAUGGGCUUUGAAGUCUAAAUUUUUCACACUUACUUCCUAGGAAAAAAUGAAUUUAUGUAAACUUCUGACUUAAAAGAGGGGAUACCUAGUUUUCUUUUUCCAGAUUAGCUAUAGCAAGAAACAAACAAAAACCCUUACUCUAUUCCAAACAUCUAACUGCAAAGCCAAGGCUUCCUACAUUUGAU